rnacentral:rRNA from 1 species
GACGAACGCUGGCGGCGUGCCUAACACAUGCAAGUGGAGCGACGAACCAGGCUUCGGCCUGGGGCAAAGCCGCGAACGGGUGAGUAACACGUGGGUAACCUGCCCUGAUGAUUGGGACAACCCGAGGAAACUCGGGCUAAUACCAAAUGUGCCCUUCGGCCACAAGGCCGCUGGGGAAAGGAAGCUUCGGCCUCCGCAUCUGGAUGGGCCCGCGGCCCAUUAGCUUGUUGGUGAGGUAACGGCUCACCAAGGCGACGAUGGGUAGCUGGUCUGAGAGGACGAUCAGCCACACUGGGACUGAGACACGGCCCAGACUCCUACGGGAGGCAGCAGUGGGGAAUCUUGCGCAAUGCGCGAAAGCGUGACGCAGCAACGCCGCGUGGGGGAAGACGG